rnacentral:sRNA from 1 species
AUUCUGCCCAUGCGGGGAAGGAUGAGAAGCUUCGACCAAGGUUCGACUCGAGCGCCAGCGAGAGAGCGUUGCCGCAGGCAACGACCCGAAGGG